CUAAACAAGUGUGUUACUACUAUAAAUCUGUUGCCAUGCUCUUGGCACUGCAGCUAUAACUUCUGGUAUUGAUUUGAUGUUGAACUAAUUAUCUGUUAAAAGAAGCUGGAAUCAAGAAAGAUUUCUGAAUGGAAGUCGCCUGUUUAAACUGUCUAUGGUUAAAGAAGUAUGCUUUAUUCAUCUAAUAACAUUUGCUGCAUCUGUAAGGAUUACAAACAAUAGGAACACAUUAUAUCAUACUUUAUGACACUGAUAUUAUUUUUCAAAAAGAAUGUGUAGAGUAGUAUUGAGAGAAGUAUAUCAUGUCCUAAUCUACCAAUCAUUCAUUCUAGGCUUGCUUUUUUUUGUUCCUAGCAAUGGUAUUCGAAUAUAUUGUGCAGCAAUAUAUCCCCCUCUGAUUAACUUAUAUGGUUUCUUCUUUACUUGCUGGGUGUACACCGGUUCAGUAAUGGGGUGGACUUUGCCAUCGCUAGGUUGGUGAUGCUGGGAGACAACACAUUCAUUUUGCUGGUCGUGAAGCUAAUAAGAUGUCUAAGUCCAUUGAGCAAAAGUUGUGUACAACAUACAAGUGUUGGUGGGACUGAUCAUGGCUCUAUAAGAGUAGGCACUUACAUGGGCCACAAGAUGAUCAAGUGUGCUGCAUCUAACCUACUUUCAGAAGUGUUGCUCUCAUGUACGUCUAUGCAAUCAAGCAACUCGAAUCCUGAUGGACCUUCUGAAGUCUGAUGCAUCGAUCGAGUAUUUAUGCAACCUCUCACCAUAUAGGUCUCACUCACCUUAUUAAAAUGGACAAAACACCAUGUUUCAUGUUCUGCAGUUUCUUAUGGCUAUAUUUCUACUUCACAAAAGAUAUUCCAGAGACUAUAACUGGUGUUGCAUGUUUGGACAAGUAUGGAGCUCACAAUGAUGCGGUGUGUCAAGGCUCCUACUAGGCAUUUCAUAUAGGAGAAUUUUUUAGUUGAGGGAUUGGGUCGACAACCUCCAAGCAAGGGAAUGUCCGUGAGAUUGAGAUUUCAGACACAGUGGGCUCAUCUACUAGGCAUUUGUGCAAUAUCAGCCUGCCACUUACCGGUAAUUUCAGUCUUCUUAUCUACUUAAUCCAUUGAAGCCACGUGAUACGGUUAUGCUGAAGUAAUUAUUAGGCCCAAAGUUGUACUUGUUUCCUUACCCUUUGAGCUACAAUCCCUUAAUUUUUUGUUUACAUUCUUGAACAUGGAAAAUGCAUUGUUUUUAACCAGAAUUAUUAACCAGUAAGGCAUCUAGGCUCGUCAGAAACCAUGUAUAGACUGAAUUUGUUGCAUUGGAUUUUUUUUUCCAAAUCACUCUGGUAGUUUCUAUAUAGUCUGGUAGUUUUUUUUCCCCUGUUUCCCUCUUAAAUUUGCUCUUUUAAUUACAAAUCUCAAUCUUUUUUCUAUUUAGUUUGGUAGGAUCACCUCCAUAGAUUCAGUGAAAUUGGUGUCUCAGCAUAGUGUGCUGCCAGUAGUGAGUUCAUGCAUCAGCAAUAAUUGUUGCUGGAUGGGUGGAGCUUUGUCUCCCAAGAGUGUGUGCUGGUUUAGAAAAUUUUCAAGGGACGCUCUUCAUGAAAUUCACAAGCUGGCUGCGAAGUACAAUGGGACCAUCAGUGAAAGGGACAAGUAUAUCAGAGGCGUGCUGCUAGCUAUGUCUUAUGAUAUAGCCCACCACAUGAAUUCAUUUGCAGACAAUCUUAUAAAUAUUGCUAGAGACAAAUACAGGUGGGCUAACAUAGAAGAUUUUGGUGUACCCAGAGGUUGAGGGAGAAAUAUGAAUGGAGCUUGCUACAUCUUUUUCGAGUCUUACA